rnacentral:rRNA from 1 species
GGAUUCCCUCAGUAGCGGCGAGCGAACAGGGAGGAGCCCAUCACCGAAUCCCGCGGCCCCCGGCCGUUGGGAGAUGUGGUGUUAGGGAAGGUCCAACUAUCCCUGGGCGGCGGGUGCGCGUCCAAGUCCAUCUUGAAUGGGGCCAAGCCCGUAGAGGGUGCCAGGCCCGUAUGACCGCCCUGUAGCCCCGGGAGGGCCUCUCCCAAGAGUCGGGUUGCUUGAGAGUGCAGCUCUAAGGAGGUGGUAAACUCCAUCUAAGGCUAAAUAUGACCACGAGACCGAUAGCGAACAAGUACCGUGAGGGAAAGUUGAAAAGAACUUUGAAGAGAGAGUUCAAUAGUACGUGAAACCGUCCAGGGGUAAACGGGAGGAGUCCUAAAGGUCGAACGGGGAGAUUCAUGCCCUUGCCGGAGCGCUCCAGCGGCCUAGCUCGAGCGAUGGUGUCGCCGGCCCGCCGGGAUUCGCGUCCCGGCGGCCACCGUGUGACCGCCACGCCGCCGGGCCGUCUGUCUAAUGAUGCGUUCGGAAGGCUGCACUUCUCCCCCAGUAGGAACGUUGCGACUCGCUGGCUGAUAGGUCCGAUAGGGCCCGGGGAAGCAGCCCGUCCUGGCUCGCGGCGCGAGGCACCGCAUACGGGUCAGGGCGAGUCCCCGGUGCAUCCCGGCCGUCGGUCGGCGGUGUCUUUGGAGGGAGCCCGCCCGCUCUUCGGAGCGUCCGAGCACGCCUCGGCGUCUUGCAGGUGGAUAGUAGCGGUUCGUGCGCCCGCACGGCCGUGUGCCUCUGUGUCGUCGGUGACAGGCUCUCGGACAGUGGUGUCGUUGCUCCAGUCUGCAACGCCUUUGCUUUGGAUCGCCUCCCGACCCGUCUUGAAACACGGACCAAGGAGUCUAACAUGUGCGCGAGUCAUUGGGCAGAACUAAACCCACAGGCGAAAUGAAAGUGAAGGGGGGACUCGUUCCCCCUUCGGGAAGAUGGCGGCGGCUUAGUCCGCAGCCCGCACUCCCGGGGCGCCGCUUUCUGCUUGCAGAUGCGGCGCACCUAGAGCGUACACGUUGGGACCCGAAAGAUGGUGAACUAUGCCUGGCCAGGACGAAGUCAGGGGAAACCCUGAUGGAGGUCCGUAGCGAUUCUGACGUGCAAAUCGAUCGUCGGAGCUGGGUAUAGGGGCGAAAGACUAAUCGAACCAUCUAGUAGCUGGUUCCCUCCGAAGUUUCCCUCAGGAUAGCUGGCACUCGGAGUACUAUGAGUCUCAUCCGGUAAAGCGAAUGAUUAGAGGCCUUAGGGCCGAAACGACCUUAACCUAUUCUCAAACUUUAAAUGGGUGAGAAGGUCGGCUCACUUAAUUGGAGCCGGUCCUUCGUGUGGAUAGAGAGUUGCCAAGUGGGCCACUUUUGGUAAGCAGAACUGGCGCUGUGGGAUGAACCAAACGCCGAGCUAAGGCGCCUGAAUCGAAGUUCAUGGGAAACCAUGAAAGGCGUUGGUUGCUUAAGACAGCAGGACGGUGGCCAUGGAAGUCGGAAUCCGCUAAGGAGUGUGUAACAACUCACCUGCCGAAGCAACUAGCCCUGAAAAUGGAUGGCGCUAAAACUUCGUGCCUAUGCUCGGCCGCCGGGGCAGUGGGUCUCGCCUUCGGGCGUGGCCACGAGGCCCCGGUGAGUAGGAGGGUCGCGGCGGAGAGCGCAGAAGCGUCGGGCGUGAGCCCGCGUGGAGCCUCCGUCGGUGCAGAUCUUGGUGGUAGUAGCAAAUACUUCAGAGAGGGCCUGGAGGGCUGAUGUGGAGAAGGGUUUCGUGUGAACAGCCGUUGCACACGAGUCAGUCGAUCCUAACGCCGUCGGAGAACUCCUUCUCCUAUUGGGCCCGGAGUCGAUGGACUCGCCACGGGCCCGGGCGGCGAAAGGGAAUCCGGUUCCUAUUCCGGAACCCGGACGCGGUACCGGUCGCAAAUCGGGCGGCGGCCUCAGGGCCGGCCGCUCGUCGGGGUAACCCAAGUGGCCACGGGGACGCCGUCGGGAGGUGUGGGAAGAGUUUUCUUUUCUGUAUCAGCGAACGGGCUCCCUGGAAGCUUCUAGCAUGGAGAUAGGGAGUGGUUCGCGGAGAGCACCGCAGUUGCGGCGGUGUCUGCACUUUCCCCUCGGCCCUUGAAAACCCGUGUGAGGGCCACGCGCAGAGUUCGCGCCGGAUCGUACCCAUAUCCGCAGCAGGUCUCCGAGGUCAAGAGCCUCUAGUCGAUGGAAU